CCCCCCCAUUGUCACUCAGGUCACAUUCAAGUCACUGAGCUUGUAAAGAUGCUGCAGGUCACAGAGGCUGUAAAGAUGCUGCAGGUCACAGAGGCUGUAAAGAUGCUGCAGGUCCCAGUAGCUGUAAAGAUGCUGCAGGUCACAGAGCCUGUAAAUAUGCUGCAGGUCACUGAGCCUGUAAAGAUGCUGCAGGUCACAGAGGCUGUAAAGAUGCUGCAGGUCCCAGUAGCUGUAAAGAUGCUGCAGGUCACAGAGGCUGUAAAGAUGCUGCAGGUCACAGAGCUGUAAAGAUGCUGCAGGUCACAGAGGCUGUAAAGAUGCUGCAGGUCACAGAGGCUGUAAAGAUGCUGCAGGUCACAGAGCCUGUAAAGAUGCUGCAGGU